UGCAGUCGAGCGGAUUACCCUUCGGGAAAGUUAGCGGCGGACGGGUGAGUCCACGUAGGUAACCUGCCUAUAAGACUGGGAUAACUAUCGGAAACGAUAGCUAAGACCGGAUAACUGGUUUUCUCGCAUGAGAGAAUUAUGAAACACGGAGCAAUCUGUGGCUUAUAGAUGGGCCUGCGGCGCAUUAGCUAGUUGGUAGGGUAACGGCCUACCAAGGCGACGAUGCGUAGCCGACCUGAGAGGGUGAACGGCCACACUGGGACUGAGACACGGCCCAGACUCCUACGGGAGGCAGCAGUAGGGAAUCUUCCGCAAUGGACGCAAGUCUGACGGAGCAACGCCGCGUGAGUGAUGAAGGUUUUCGGAUCGUAAAGCUCUGUUGCCCUAGACGAACAGCAAGGAGAGUAACUGCUCUUUGUGUGACGGUAUAGGAGAAGAAAGCCCCGGCUAACUACGUGCCAGCAGCCGCGGUAAUACGUAGGGGGCAAGCGUUGUCCGGAAUUAUUGGGCGUAAAGCGCGCGCAGGCGGUCAAUUAAGUUGGGUGUUUAAGCCCGGGGCUCAACCCCGGUUCGCAUCCAAAACUGGUUGACUUGAGUGUAGGAGAGGAAAGUGGAAUUCCACGUGUAGCGGUGAAAUGCGUAGAGAUGUGGAGGAACACCAGUGGCGAAGGCGACUUUCUGGCCUAUAACUGACGCU
rnacentral:rRNA from 1 species